ACACUCAUGGUUCUCUUCAUCUCGUAUAAAUCUUUCGCCUUUUACUAAAGAUUUCCGUGGAGAGGAUCACUAUGAGUUCAAACUAAUUUUUUGUUGCCCUGCUUAGUAGCGGGGCU
ensembl:snRNA U5 U5 spliceosomal RNA